UGUAAAAUAUAUUUAAAGCUUUAUUUGCUCAUUAAAGGAGCUACAUUUAUAUUUUUAUAUGAUUAACUGUUAUACUCUAUUUUUGAGUUGAUCUUUAGUUUUAGAAGGCUUCCAAAAUGUGGAAAGAUUGAUCCGAACCUUGAAUUAGAUUGUAUUGGGUUGGCUUGUAUCUGAAAAAUAAGUGUUCUAGCUUGGAAUAGCU
rnacentral:lncRNA from 1 species